rnacentral:RNase_P_RNA from 1 species
UGAGUAGGACGAGUGAUCGCGGCUGCAUUAGCGAAAGCGUGCAGGUGAGGAAAGUCCGGGCUUCGUAGGGCAGGAUGCCGGAUAACGUCCGGUGGAGGCGACUCUAAGGAUAGUGCAACAGAAAUAUACCGCCAGCAAUUGCUGGUAAGGGUGGAAGGGUAGUGUAAGGGACUACCGCCCGGGUGGUAACAUCCGGGGCAUAUGUAAACCCCAUCCGAAGCAAGACCAGAUAGAAAGCGUUGAGGUGGCCCGUUUAGCUUUCGGGUUGGUCGCUUAAGCCUAUUGGUAACAGUAGGAUUAGAUAGAUGAUCAUUCUAGACAUAACCCGGCUUAUAGUUCUACUCAAUAU